AAUUAAACCAAUUACUGCCAUCAUGUAAAUUGCUUUUGCAAAACACGUGCAUAACAUUUCAAAUUUGAAUACAAGCUCACACUUUUCUGAAAGUCUGAAUGUUAUUUCUUUGUAUCAAAAUAAUGUUUUGGUUAUUUAUUUUCUCUAUUUUGUCGCUACAAUGUAUCAGUUCAAGGACCCAUUUUAUACGAAACGAGUCUUUGGAUAGUUUUGAAAUCAUCAGACCAUUGGAUUACGCCGACGUCAGACUUCUCAAACUAACAAGGUCACAGGUUCCUGUCAAAUCUGUGUACACCCUACAUAUAAUGGCACCAUCUGACACCGACUUUAGGGCAUUAGAUGAUCGCACAGGUACAGUUUUACCUAUGGAAUUGUCAAACCCUACCAGCGAUGGAGAAUUUACGGUAAUUGUAGAGGUAAAAGAAGAUUCAACCCAACCAAGAAUAAAAGCUUGCUCAGCUUCAAUAGCUAUCAAUUUUACUGUUGAUAUCAAUCAUAGCUCUACUAAGAAAAUUCCAGAGAGUUUUGAUUUUAGUAGCUGUCGCUAUAGUGUUGCAAGGAAAUUGUCACCUGACAUCCACACAUACAGGGUUGAAAAUAUAGGAUGUGGAAGAGUUCAAUCUUCUACUUUCGAACAAAUGCAUAUGUAUAGGAGCAUUCCUGGAUAUCCAGAAACAACAUUAUUGUUUACUGUUGGAGGAACAAGGUAUCCAGAAUACUACAACUCAACCAUGGUAGGUGGUACUUCUGUCACUGAGGAAUAUGAUUACGUCUCUACAUGGAACAUUAAUCAAUCCGCUAUGAAUUCAGAUGGUAUUCAGGUUAAGGAGCUAGUACUCUCUAUAUGGUCGAUAACCCGCUGGACCAGUGAUCCUGUUACACACAUGGAAAUCACCCAACACAUAUCGUAACAUGAAAUACAACGUUACAAUUAUUUAUAAUUAAAUGAUUUUCAGAAUUGUAA